rnacentral:rRNA from 1 species
UACGAAGGUCCCGAGCGUUGUUCGGAAUCACUGGGCGUAAAGGGAGCGUAGGCGGCGUGGUAAGCCAGAUGUGAAAUCCCGGGGCUCAACCCCGGAACUGCAUCCGAUACUGCCGUGCUCGAGGGUUGGAGAGGUAGCUGGAAUUAUCGGUGUAGCAGUGAAAUGCGUGGAUAUCGAUAGGAACACUCGUGGCGAAGGCGAGCUACUGGACAACAUCUGACGCUGAGGCUCGAAGGCCAGGGGAGCAAAAGGG